UGGUGUGACGGGGGGGGCUCCCCCUGCCAAAGUGUUGUUCUUGAGCCUUUCUGCUCCCAUUCUCUCCCUCCAGCAUCUCCUCCCCUGACAGCAGCCCCGCCCCUGCCCCUGCCAUAAGGUGCAAACGCGGGGGGCUGUGUGCCCAUCAGGCUCUGCAAUGCAACUCCCACCCUUCGCCCCAUGGCUCCAGCAGCAUGGAUCCCACCCCGGCAAUGGCGCCCCCCAUUGGCCAGCAGGUGAUGCCGCUGCCCGAGCACUUGUGCUGGGGAAAGAUGUGCGGGUUGAAGACGCCCACGUUCUCGCCGCAGAUGCUUGGGGUCCAGAAACAGCCCCACAGCAAGCCACAGACGUCACCCUCCUACACCGAAGGCCUCGUGCUAAUGUUGGCACCGCAGACUGAGCGGUGGAAGGGGCUUGUGGCGAAGGCACCAGGCUGGCACCCAGGAGAUCAGGGUUCAAUUUCUGGCUCUGCCAUAGAUUCUCUGUGUGAUCUUCCCACUGGAGCUAAGCGUGUGGCCUCUCUCCAGCCCUUUGCCGAGGGCUGUGGUCAUCCCUGUUGGGAGGGGGCAGCUGUAGGAACAGAAGUGCCUCAUUAGACUGGAGGGAAUUGAGCUGGGAAAGCAGCAUGAGCAAUAGCCCCAAAGCGAGUGCGAGGAAGCAGAGUUGCUGCGUUACCCUUACAGUGACCCUUCGGAAUAGCAGCGUUAUCUCCUUUAACCCAGGGGGGAUUAGAUCCACCUUGGUCCCAUUGUCACUUUGAUCCCAGUGCUCCAGGAUGUGAGAGUCCUGGCAGAACAGCUCCACCAGGAGAGCUCAAGAGCCCAGCCCCCAGAUGUCCCAUAGUGAGGGCUGUCCUCUGGGAGAGCCAAGUUCAGUCUUGGCUCUUCCAUCUUCACAUGAGGCAAAGCGGGGAUUUGAACUGGCACCUCCCAAUCCUGGCUGGGUGCUCCAUGCACUGAACUAAAGGAUAUAAGAUCAGGGCGGGGAGCGGGGGCAGGUGUCAUCUCCACUUGUGGCUCUUCUGUGGGGUUUCAACGUGCUCAGAGCAUGUCUAGUAGAUCCCCCCAUGGGCUGCCUAGUUUGUGAAUCCCACUGGGGCUCGAAAGCAAGUUAGGUGCUUGCGGGGGCGGAGGGGGUGUCAGGAUCUCUGUGUUGGUCCAACCACCCAAAUUUAGGUGCCUCAGGGACUUUAAUGGUGGAAAUUCAGGCACCGAGGAACUUUCGGCCCCUAUAGGGUCAGGAAGCAGCUGAGCAGGGAGUUGUCAAUGCCAGUGGUGCCUAAAUGUUGGAAUGAAGCAUUAGGCGCCUACAUCCCCCUUGCGAAUUCCACCCCUCGGCGCUUUAGAAACUCCCAUGAGGCGCUCAUCUGCAUCUGUAGGCACCUAAACCCCUCUGACAUCUAGCCAGAGUUACCAGUUCUGAGUGAUUUAUUUUCUUGAAUAUCCUUAAAGGCAACACAAGCAACAUGAAGCUGGUAAAUUAAAAGCAGAGUCCCCUCAUCUCUGUGUGCAGGGAAGAAAAAAUUGGCGAUCGUCUUUAAUGGACCCCAAUUUCCCGAGAUGACUUAGGCUCUUUGAUUACUGUUGGCCUUUUCACACAAUGACAGGCCGGUCAGUUUCAUUCCCUGGUUCUCAGCCAAAGGCUGUUGUGUUUGGGUCCUUGAAAAUCCACACUAAAUUUCCUCUCCCCAUUUUGGCUUUAUACCUCCCCCUGCCCCCUUCACAAAUAAAAACCUGACCGUUUGACAGGUUUGCACCUAAAUGAUCAUUUAACCCUUUCAGUGCUUUUAAAAAGAGCACGGGAAAAUGGUUGGGCAUGCAAGCUGCAGUGGAAAGAAUCCCUGGGCCCUUUGAAAUCUGCCAGAAACACCUACCCUUUUCCGCUCCCCAUGAGGACAGUAAUAACACAUUGCAUUUCUGUUGCAGCUUCAGCCUUAGUGGAGUCCAAAUCAGUCACUUCUCUGAUCACUGAAAUGCAGCCACCUUUGGGGUGGGAACGCAACAGUGCUGCACAUCAUCUUAGGACAGGGAGGGAAGAAGAAACCACCUGUAUCCAGCUGAAACUGCAGGGAGACAGAAUGGAAUUAUCCCAGGUAGAUUUGGAGUCAACGCCACAGCUCUUGGGAAAAGUGCUUUGAGAUCUCUAGAGACCACAACAGAUUGGAACAACCAGACACAGCCCUCAAUCUGCUCCCUGCAGCACAGCACCCCAUAGUGCGGCACUGGGACAUUGGAGUCACUGCUGACUGUGAGGGGAGAGCUCCCCCUACUGACCUUCCUGCCCCCUGGGUCAUUGGGUCAGCACUGACUGAGAGUGGAUAGUUCUCUGAAGACGUCCAUGCAGUGUGCAGAAGCAGUCAAAAAGCAAACGGGAUGUUAGGAAUCAUUAAAAAAGAGAUAGAAAAUA